rnacentral:lncRNA from 1 species
UGCAUCCCCUUCGUCCCCACCUAGCUGGGAGUGACUCAGCUGGGUGACUUGUCAACUCCAUGUAAAAUCUCAGGCCCAGCCCCUGGGAGGGGUUCCAGUUCCAUCUCUGGCAUUUCAUUAAAGUUGGGACCAUCUUUCUCCGGCUUUUUGCAGCCAGGCUCAAAUCAGAUAAACUCCUUUGUUCUUCGUGGAACUGACAAGCAGUUAAAACCCCAUUAUUAUGCUAUAAUUUCAGAAAAUGGAUCCAAGUGAAUAGCUAAAUAGGGCUCAAGGCUGCUUAAUGAGACAUCUUAUUUGAGGCUUUCAAAUGUCAGAAAUUCCAGACAGCAGCAAGCUGAAGUCUCUGGGACCAACGUGUCAGCUCCAGGAAAGCUGGACCCCACGGUGCAGUGGAAGCAAAGAUUAAAACAGCAGGCUGGAGGAGCAGAAAUGUGAACAGCUGGAGGCCGGAAAAGAAAGGACACAAGCGGAGAAGAAACACCAGAGGAAAAAUAAUCCCUUAGAGGGGCCCCACUCUGUUCCCCCAGGCUGGAGUGCAGUGGUGAGACCAUGGCUCACUGUGGCCUCGACCUCCCGGGCUCAAGGGAUCCUCCAACCUUAGCCUCCCAAUGUGUUGGCAUUACAGGCAUGCGCCAUCGCACCAGGCAAAACUGGACUCUUGUUCUGAAGUCAUGUGGGGGAACUGGGCCCCUGAGCGAGGCGAGGCUGUCUCAGGUCUGGGCCUUCUUUUCCGAGCUCCCUGACGUCUGACAUACCCUUGGUGAACAGCAGAAGGCACAUCGGAUCUACAUUCAGAUGCCUGCCUAUGCUGUGGGAUGCAAUCCUCCCUUAUGGAACAGUUCCUGCAGAAUUUCUCGGGGCCGUGCAGAUAAGGGAAGCAGGCAGCCUUAGGAAGCUGGGCAGGUGGAACCUACUGUACAGCCCACGAGCGCCAGCCUGCACUGAGGCCACUAGCAUUCGCAUCUCACCUCCCGGGAGCACCAGCCUGCACCGAGGCCUCUAGCAUUCAUGUCUCACUUCCUGCAAGCACCAGCCUGCACCGAAGCCUCUAGCGUUCACGUCUCACCUCCUGGGAGCACCAGACUGCACCGAGGCCUCUAGCGUUCAUGUCUCACUUCCCGCAAGCACCAGCCUGCACCGAGGCCUCUAGUGUUCACGUCUCACCUCCUGGGAGCACCAGCCUGUACCGAGGCCUCUAGCAUUCAUGUCUCACCUCCCGCAAGUGCCAGCCUGCACCGAGGCCUCUAGCGUUCACGUCUCACCUCCUGGGAGCACCAGCCUGUACCGAGGCCUCUAGCAUUCAUGUCUCACCUCCCGCAAGUGCCAGCCUGCACCGAGGCCUCUAGCGUUCACGUCUCACCUCCUGGGAGCACCAGCCUGUACCGAGGCCUCUAGCAUUCACGUCUCACCUCCCGCAAGUGCCAGCCUGCACCGAAGUCUGGCAUUCACGCUCACCUCCCGCAAGCACCAGCCUGCACCGAGGCCUCUGGCAUCCAUGUCUCACCUCCCGCAAGUACCAGCCUGCACCGAAGCCUAGCAUUCAUGCUCACCUCCCGCGAACACCAGCCAGCACUGAGGCCUCUGGCAUCCAUGUCUCACCUCCCGCAAGUACCAGCCUACACUGAAGCCCCUAGCAUUCAUGCCUCACCUCCCGGCCACACAAGGAAACAGAAAACUUUCUUGUCACUAAUGACCAACAGUGAAAAAGAACAAGCCAACCAUAACAACUUUUAAAGAAUGAAAAUGGUCAGAUGUUUCUUUUAUGCCUUUCUCUUAACAAUAAAACAUAGCCUAGCACAGAUGGGCCUGAGAAGGACUCCCAGACUCCUAGAUGGCUUCGAACCAUGUCCUUUCCUCCUGACGGCUCGUGGCUUGGCGUGAGGUUUCAUGUGUACAGGAAUUGGUGUGAGAGGCCAGUGUCCCAAUGAAUUGUGCAGCUGGGAUGGCAGGAGAGGGCUCCUCUGUGUACUGCG